UACGUAGGGUGCGAGCGUUAAUCGGAAUUACUGGGCGUAAAGCGUGCGCAGGCGGUUUUUUAAGACAGGCGUGAAAUCCCCGGGCUUAACCUGGGAACUGCGUUUGUGACUGGAAGGCUAGAGUAUGGCAGAGGGGGGUGGAAUUCCACGUGUAGCAGUGAAAUGCGUAGAGAUGUGGAGGAACACCGAUGGCGAAGGCAGCCCCCUGGGCCAAUACUGACGCUCAUGCACGAAAGUGUGGGGAUCAAACAGG
rnacentral:rRNA from 1 species